rnacentral:piRNA from 1 species
UCCAAUAUCAUAUAAGGAGUG